GGCCAGGUGGUGGAAUUGGCAGACACGCAGGACUCAAAAUCCUGUGCUCGCAAGAGUGUGAGGGUUCAAAUCCCUCCCUGGCCACAA
rnacentral:tRNA from 2 species